rnacentral:lncRNA from 1 species
CUUUGUGAAGCCAACUAAAAGGUACUUUGACAUAUGAGAAGUGGCCACAAUCCUUCUCACGGAAAUUACCUGGGGCUCCUGGUUCUUUAGGGGAUAUGAUUAUCAAAACAGAAAUUAACAAACAACAAUAAAAACAGUCUUACGUGAACCACUAUCCAAUGCCUUCAGCCAUUAGUGGUACCCAGAAUUAAAGAAGAAGCCUUCAUCCCACCACCUUCCGUUUUCCAACGGUGCUUCCUGUCUGUCCUCAGGCUCUGUGGGGGAAAGAGUCUUUCUAGAAGCACAAUGCACAGGGGAAUACCAAAGACUUUGACGAGAAGGCUCAGUUAAAAGCUUCUCUGAGCCCUUUGUCGGUCCUGCAUAGGGUAAGGGAUUCUAGAAAAGAAAGAAGAAAAGUGGGCUGAGAGACAAGCUGGUGUCACUCUCUCUUCUAGGAACCAGGGAGACAGCCGGCAGGAGUGCCCCGUGUGGCAGAGGAGAGGGCUCAUGGAAAGGUCCAAACGUCUCCAGUUUGAGAUCUCAGCAUCUCCAGCAUUGAGAGCGAUCUCUGGGAGGCAGAAGAUGACUAAGAGGAGCCCGAAGGUACCCAGAGUUCUCCCUCAACUCCAAGAGGUCCAGAGGCGCCAGAUCACCGGGGCCCAAAACCUCCACCUGCUCCUCUGAUGCUGGUCCUGACAGAGACCCAGCUUUGCCAGAGAGGAGUCUCGGCCGCUUGUUUCCGGGAAGGACCGAGCCCAAGAGGCUGUCUGCUUCCCCAGACGGACGCCGCGCCAGCAAGGCGGCUCCCGGGCCCAGGAAGCUGAGGGCUAAUGUUGUCUUCGAACAGAAUUGUAAAGAAAAAGACACGUUCCCUGGCCUUGGUCCUACCGAGGUCAACGUGUCAACGUGUCAGUAAACCGGUCCCAGGGAACGAGUCGACGACGACGACGACGACGACGACGGGCCUCCCGGCUUUCGUGUAGCUCCUCCAUCAGGGCCUGGGGUCCCCUCUGCUCUCCAGAUAACGACCCCCAGCCGACGAUGCCCGCCCCGAGGCUGAUCGAGGGACCCCAAGACAACCCUCUGCUGGGGCCAAAGUGCCCGCAGGAGGUGACUCGUUUGGGACCUGCGAGGGGAGGCGAGGCGCGCGCACUGUGCUGCCAGUCCCCCCAGCCCUGCCCGGGGCAGACAGCCUUCCCGGAGCAGCACCAGGACAGCAAAGCCCUGUUUGGGAGCUUAUUGAGGCCGCGGAUUCCGCUACGGAACUGCCGCGCCAGGCGGGAGUCAGAGAAUGAUGACAAGCAGAUACUGGAACCUCAGAUUCCGGUGUGAAAAGGCGACACGUGACUUAAUGACUCCAGGCCUUAGGAGCCAAGAACGGUGCUAAGGAAGUGGCUGCCCAGGCCAACUAGGAUGAAAAGGAGGGAUGGGGGCUGGGUACAGAGCAACUAGAAACUGACAGAAGGGGGUGGGGGCCGCCAGGCUGGAAACUGAGUGCGGGUGCGUUUUAGCCAGUUUCUGACAACGUGGCGGAGGAGUCCUGGCAGCGGGCGCGGGACCUGGGCGCCCGGGUGGGACCCGCCACGUUUGGGCUCCGGAAGUGAGUCGCAGGCCAGGCCCAGCGCUCGCAAGUCGCCGGCCCCCUCCCCGCCGGGUUCGUCUUUUCCCCUCUUUCUUCCAAUUCUGCCCACUUUUCCUCCCUCUCUUGCCACUCGGGCUGCAACCCCGACUCAACCGUCCUUCCUCUCCGGCAAUUGGGGUAGAGAUGGCAAUGAGGGCGGCAAUGAGGGCGGCGUCAGCCGUUCCAACUGGGGUUUAUGGAGACAUCCCCGGUGGUGCCACCAGGGCCUUAACGUUUGCGUCGCGCUCUCUGGUUACAGAGCACGUUCCCCCACAGCUUUCCUCGCCGCAGCUGCACGGAGGGUCUGAUCAUCCGGGCCCUAGAAGGAAAGUGAGGCCCGACCUAGGAGGCCGGCCCCAGGACACCCAAUCCUCCCGCUGCACUAGAAUCCAGGCUUCUCAGGGAUGGAGCUGGUCUUCCCAGGGCUGGAAGAGUCAGAGGAGGUCCCAGCCCAGGACCUUAUAUUUCUCGGCCUGCUUCCGAGAAAUGAGGACAGGAAUGGCGCUAACUCUCCCCUGCGCUGGCUCAGGGUGGGGUCUCCUGGGCCUGGCAGCCUGCUCCAAAGAUUCGGCUUUCCCGGCCAGAGGCGAGCUCAAGUCCAAAAUCUAUCCCCGAAGAAGAGGAAGAAAAGCAGAUAUGCAUGACUCAAAAGUUUACCAGCGCAAACCACAGACCCGACAAAGGACGGGUAUCUUGACCACCUAAAGAAAACUACCAUCCAUCAAUUUUAAAAAAUCAAACUAUGCUGUAGGAAACUGGACAAAGACAUCAACAGAAAUUGCAUUAAAGGGGAUAUGUGGGUGGCAAAUAAAGACAGGAAAAGAUGUUCAACAUCACUGGCCAUUAGGGAGAUGCAAAUUAAAACCAAAAUCAGAAUGGAUAAAAUAAGAAGCAGCAAUAACAGCAAACACUGGAUUCAUUCAUUGCUGGAGGGAAUGUAGACUGGUGCGCCACUCUCCACAGUGUAUGGUCGUUGUUUCUUUUUUUUUUUUUUUAACAAAACUAAACAUGCAAUUCUAUGCCCAGAAAAGCCUGGGGCUGAGGAUGCCUUUGGAAAGAAUUAUACAAUGACAAAGUCAAGGUGGAUUUUUUUCUCUUUUUUUCUUACCAUCUCCUAAUGAGACCAGCUUGUCAAUUAGCUGGUCCCAGGGAGGAUGGUGCCUGAACUGAAAAUAGCCUCCUGGGUUCUUACCCACCUGCUCUCCUUUAAAACGGGGUCUCUCCUCCUCUUGAAGAAUAGAGAACCUCCAGUAGAGGAUUCUAGCUCCCUCACCUUGAAUUCAGCCACCCACGCCCUGCCACUCUGCUUGCUCAAAUGCUGCCCAAGAACUGAUAACAUGUGGAACAGAUUGUAGCAGCUGGAACCCAGGAAGAGCUUUGUGGGCAGAGCCAGAGAGAGACGGUAGAAGGCGAGCUCACCCAGCACAGCCAGAAGGAGGCAGCUCCGAGGACACCCGCAGUGACCAGAGCCCACCCCAACCCAGGGCUGGAGGUGCUCAGUGAGAUUCUCAGCUGCGAGGGAGAUAUCUCCUGUGGGUCGAAAGAAAAAAUUAGAAUUGAGAAGCUAUUCCUUAUUUGACAGAGAGUGCCAACACAAUGGGAAAGCAUAGAUAAAAGCCAGAGAUUCUUACCACAGAAGAUGGAAGCAUGCGGGGCAGGGGAGGACAAGGAAGAAGGUUGUGAUCAGGGAGGGGCACUCAGGACUCCUGGGCACUGGCCAGGCUUAUAACUCUUGACUAAGAGAAGGAUACUUUGGGUUUCAGUAUAAUUACUAAACGAGGGUCACAUAUAUGUUCUAAGGACCUUGAUGCAUGUAGAUCAUAUUUUACAAUUGAAAAUAAUGAAAUAAGAAAGGAAACUUCAAAAAUAACAAGCCGGGGUGUCGUAGAAUCACCAGUCAGCCCCGAGUCGUGCAUUUUCAACCCUACUCAGGUACUGGCCCUGUGACCCCAUCCAUGCCUGACCCUCCCACCCUGCAGUUUCCUCUCCUGUAAGGAGAUGCUGAGGUUGUCAGGACAAGUGGUGAAGGACAGAAG